AAAAAGGCCCUUUUAAGGCCACAAAUUAAAAAAAAAAAGGGCAA
rfam:Stegodyphus mimosarum contig77707, whole genome shotgun sequence.